rnacentral:lncRNA from 1 species
UUACACCAUUACGACGAAGAAGAAGCAGCCGCAGCGCGCCCGCGUGCCCGCCCGCCGCCGCUGCGCGCCGGCGCUCAACGCGCUUUUGAUUCUCUCCGUUUCCCCUUCUCCAUCUUCGUCUCCACCAUCGUCGUCGUCGUCGUCGUCGUCGUCGUCGACGAUGUCUGUGGUGGGUGGGUUGGAGUGCGUGGUGUGCGUGGCUGUGACGGAUGCGUGCCGUGGUAGGAGGAGAGGUCGAGGGAGAGGCCGAGGGAGAGACCGAGGCGGGGGGAGGCAGGCUCGCCGCCGGUCGGAGCAGAGGUCAAGGGAGAGGCAC